ACAGUUUCAUUUCAACUUGAAUAGCAGCGUGCAAGCGAAAGGAGUCCGAAAGAUUAAUUUGAUUGGAAUCUAAGGGGCUGCCUCCUUAACCGUCAGAACGUUCGUUUUAUUUCCUGUUGCAGUUUCUCCCCCCCCCCCCGCACGCUUUAUUUCGCCACUGAUGAUCAAAGGCUUGAACUUCAACCAGCGGGUUCAUCAACAGAGACAGACAGCACCCCCCGCCCCCGCCGCCGCUAUUUCAGAGGGAGAAAGAGAAAGAACUGAACGAGGAACGACGCUAUGGAAAUGGUGUUCGGCGGCGAUAGCCAGAUGAAGGCUGUAGCUGCUUGCAGCUGGUAGGCAAUGAGAGAAAACCCCUCGAAGUGGAGGAGGCUAUGGAGAGGUGAGUGGGAGGAGGAGGAGAAGGAGGAAGAAAGAAAGAGGGUGAAACAAGGGCAACACGAUCCUUUAGGCUUUCCCUCCAAGAGCUUUGGCAUAGGAAGGAGAAGAAACAAAAUGCGUGGACGCCACAACGUGCAUUUGGACAAGUGUACACAUCUGGUGGGAGCCUCCUGCCCGUCACAGCUUUCUGCUCUGCAUACACCAAAUCUCAGUGCACACGUGUUUGUCCGGCACAUGAUAUGGCAUACAUGCAGCUUAGCCACCUGGAAGUGAUAACCGUGAAGGAAAUCAUCUUGUGUGAAGUGGCCCGAAGGAGGAAGUAACAUUACAGUCCCACUUAUCGGAGAGUGAUCCAGAUAUAUUGGAAACAUCUGGAGGAGCGGCAGUUUUGGAUGUGAUUGUACAUUCAGCUGCAUUAAUGGAGAACAGAAGAGGAUGGAGGGAAAAAAGCAAAAAGCAGUGAGGUGUCUGAGGUAGCUGGGAGAGGCCGUUUGGUGGAGUGGAUCAAACAAGGCUGGUCUUAGAUCAGUGAAGAAUCGCGGCUGUCUCGUGCCACCAUCAGCCAUUGAUUCACCAGAAUCUCCACAUCAGCUUCUCUGUACAAUGAGAUGGGGUCAUUAUCUUUUGGUGUGCAAUCGAUUUAAAUAUCCACAAAUGUGCAAUAGUUAUUCAGUGGUCCAGGACCAAGUGCUAAAGCUUUUGUGCAUCAUACCACUUUCAGCAGCACAGUUGUUUUCUGGGAGUAAUCCCCCCCCCCAUAAAUAACAGUCAAAGAUGCAUCUAACAAGAGCUAUAGACAAAAGAAAGCCUUACCAAUUCUCUGCCAAAGAAUCCAGUCUCCGUUUAUGUUGCUGGAGCUCUUGACAUUUUUUCUCAAGACAAUGCUUCUUUUGCAUGAUACUCUGUUUUCCCCUGUCUUCAGUCCACAGUUAUUUUGUCAGUGGGAAUGUGAGAUUCUACCACCCCAAACUAGAACCUCCAUUGCAAUUAUGAGCAGGAUGUCGAAUGUAGUUGUCAAACUGAGUUCAUGGGGAUUCCUUUGGACAAAAGCUUUGACGAGAAAUCUUGUUUCUUUCCGGUGCCAUUUGGGUGAGCUUUGGAUCUUGUAUUUUAUUUUUCAUUAUUUAAAGCAAAGAUUUCAUCUCACCUUUUAUCAAGAUUUUUUUUUAAAAAAACAAAUAAAUAAAUUGCAAAUGUUAUUGAUUAAAAAACCCAAUUAUGAAACAUAAAAUGUUGCUUUCUAGGACGGAUGCAUCUACAGAUGUUAGGUCUUGUAUGCAGUCACCCACAUGGCAUCAAAACAGACUUGGAAAACCUGUUACAUUACAGAUUAAGCUCACAUUCACAAGGUAUACUUCAGUAUAAAGCAUUAAUUUCUCCCUAGAAAUUAUCAAGGGGGCAUAGACAUUAUCAAGGGGUUAAACAAUGUUUUAAAAAUCAAGACAAGUCUCAUGAUAAAAGAAGCAGGGCGUGUAAAAUGAAGACAAGCAAAUGUUCCAUUAGAAUAUUCUCUUGGGAGCCACCCAGAAUGGCUGGGAAAACCCAGCCAGAUGGGCGGGGUAUAAAUAAAUUAUUAUUAUUAUUA